rnacentral:lncRNA from 13 species
GGGAAAUGCACAGACUUUUGUUUGGCGUGUUUAUACAAAUACGUCCUUCUUUCUGCCCCGAGGUCAGGCUCCUCUCAGCCGGCUGUAGAGGGACGAAGAGGAAGGUGGCUCUGUCCUGCGUUCCUCCACCACCCCAGGCCAUGGCCUCUAAAGCACUCCUCUGGGACCCCACCAGAGACCAGAGAACCAGAGAACCAGAGACCCAGAGACCCAGAGACCCAGAGACCCAGAGACCCAGAGACCCAGAGGACCAGAGACCAGAGAACCAGGCAUGCAUGGAAACGUUACCCUCCACCUCCCCACCACCAUCACCAGCUAAGGCCCAUCACUGGAACUCCUUUCUCCCAGCGCGGGGGGAUUCAAUGCCAGCUGCCCCUCAUAGGACUACCUGCCAUAACAGCAUCUGGCUCCGAGCUCGGAGAUGA